GAAAACCGAAUACCAAAAUGCUCGACUUUUUUUAUUCUGAUUCACACCGACCGGCUUCUGAUUUUUGCACACUGAAUCAACUGAACCCAACUGUCGAUUUUACCCGAUGCCCAGCCCUGAUCACAACAGCAGAGCAACAUACACACAACGACGGUGCAGCCUAGACUCAAAGGAAACCUGGUGAACAAAACAAGGCUACCAAACCCGGAAGAACAACAGAAAAUGGACAAGAGGACACUACAAAAGAUCGUUCAUCGGAGAGCUGCGCCUCGGGGACUUAUGAACUCCUCC
rnacentral:lncRNA from 1 species